rnacentral:rRNA from 1 species
UACGUAGGGGGCUAGCGUUGUCCGGAAUCAUUGGGCGUAAAGCGCGUGUAGGCGGUUCGGUAAGUCCGCUGUGAAAGUCGGGGGCUCAACCCUCGAAUGCCGGUGGAUACUGUCGGGCUAGAGUGCGGAAGAGGCGAGUGGAAUUCCUGGUGUAGCGGUGAAAUGCGCAGAUAUCAGGAGGAACACCUAUUGCGAAGGCAGCUCGCUGGGACGUCACUGACGCUGAGACGCGAAAGCGUGGGGAGCAAACAGG